GUUGGCUGGGGAGAGGUGGGCUCUGGCCCAGCGCUGGAGUCAGACCGCAGAAACGCUCCUGCUGCUUUCCUUCUGAGAACAAC